ACUGUGGCUACUUGGGGGUUAAUGCGCGCUCUCCAAAAUUUUGGCCUGCGUUCCCUCCGUUCUCUCUCUCUCUCUCUUGUUGCUAUUCCUUCCCCGCUGUUGUUUUCUCUCUUCCUUUCCCCCUCUCUCCUCCUCAAUUAUUCUCUGUUGUCUCCUUUAUUUUUCCUCUCUCUCUCUCUCUCCUAUGGAUUUGAAAAUAAAAGGUGUGCAUACCUCUAUUUCAAUAGUCUCAUUUCAAUAAACAGGCAUUGGGGUUUGCAAAGUAACGGUGUGUAAAGAAAGUGUAAAUCUGAAAAGCUGUAGAUGGAUUCUGGAGAUGAUAUUAGCAAUACUGGAUCGGCAGUAUAUCCCAAUCCCUCAAGGAAGAACUGGUGGAGUUUCUUCAAGGAUAAAAAAUAACCUUCUCAUGGGCUUGAAUGGUUUGAUACUAGAAUGAAGCUACCAAGUGGUGAUUACUUGGUUGUGCUCUAUUUCAGACCCCCUGGCCCUUUAGAUUAUUAAUAAGCAAAGGUUUGUCAAUGUUGAGAUAGCCAAUAUUUCUAAGCUUUCUAUCAUAUUUAUGGAAUUGAAUUGGCUUCUCUUAGGGACCGUUGAUUCUGCUUUCAUUCUGUAGUUGUAGACUCAUGAAGACUUGAAUACUGCAAGCUUCAAGGUAUCUGGGAAAAUUUCUGAGCUAAAGACUACUAUUGGUGUUAGGCUGAUGCAUCAUCAAGACAAUUUGUUAACGAUUAUCAACUACGAAUAUAAACGGUGGAGCUUUUUGGUGAGGAAGGAAAAAUCCAUAUAUAUAUCAUACACUGAAAAUGCAUAGCUUUGAUUUAACAAAGAAACUUCUUGUUGUAGAGGAUUGGAGCCUUUUAUUUUUCUUUUUGCUACAAAUCAGAUUCAAGAUGCCUUACAGUGAGUAGCAUUUGACAACAACUCAAAAGUUGGAUCCAUAUUCCAGGCCUUGAAUAUGAAGGAAUCUACACUAACAUAUUUCCAAACAAAUAAGUUUAUUUAUGCUUUUCAAGAGAUUGUUGAUGCAUAUGGGGAUCGAAAGCUUGGGGAUUUUAUAUUUGGUGUACCUAUUGCAUUGGCAUUUGUAGCAAAGUUCCAUUGAGAAAUACAUUUAUGUAUCUGUAUACCUAUUGCACUGGCAUUAGCAAUUCCGUUUAUCUAUGUGUAAUAGAAAAAGAAAUACAUUUAUGUAUCUGUAUGCCUUUGCAAAUGCAUGCAUGCCCGUGCCUAUGGAAUAUUGUUUAUCUGGAAUGGAAGAAUUGACAUAUUAUUUAUGUCAUAAAGUUGUGUUCUGUAUGGGCCCUAUAGGAUUCAUCUUUAUUCAGGCCAUUCAUUUAUAGUCAUGUAUAGGUCCUGAUGCGAUUCUCAUUCACUUGGAUAAGGAGAUUGAUUAAUUUGUUGGGUUUGAUGUAUAUACAAGGGAUUGAUUUUAAGUAGUACUGUCUAGGAAGUCAGUACUAGUAGAUAAGAAAAUAGGAAGGUAUUAAUGUCUAACCUUGCUCACAAUUUUCCCUUCGGGUCUAGUUUGUUUGGUGACUAGUAUCUGCCCAAGCAUCUUCCCUUCAAGCAAUGGGAACAUGGGUUUAAAAACAACAACUUGUAUGCUAUGUGCUGAAUGCUGAUGAAUUCAAUUAUGUGGGAGCAAACCUUGUUAAGAAUCUUUCCAGAUAGGCAAUUGGACAUAUCAUGAACAUAUCAGUCCUAGCUUAUACUUGUGAAGGGAAAAAAUCACUCUUAAGACAAUAGAGUUAGGAUUCUGAAGAUCUACUUCUCCCCUGUAUCAUCUUUUAAUAAACAAUAAAAAUGUCAAAAAUUGGCCCAAUUAUUGGGACUGCUUCCAUGGCACCUGGGUUCUCACGAUGCAUAUCCCCUUUGAACCUAUAUCUCUUGUUUAACACAAUCAUAGGGGAGGUGAAAAGGAAUUCUGAAGAUGUACUACUCCCCUGCAUCAUCUUUUUUGUUUUUUGCUAUUGAUAAGAAAAGAAGAUUGUGGGGUUGACUGGGAUUAGAUCUGAAUUCUUAUGACUGACUCUACCAAUUCAGGUUCAUCAUGUAGAAGUGCAUUAGAACAAGUGCAUAUCACAAUGCGGUUCUAUUAAUCAAGAUAUUAAUGAACUAAAUUUGGAUCCGGAUAUGUCCUAUUUGGUCCUUUGAAACAUGUUUACUUAUCUAUACUGGUUUUGUAACAUCACCCAUGCUUUCUAUAGAGCUCAACAGUAUUUUGAUUGUUGAAAACUGUAGUGACCAUACCAAGUGAAUCUCCAUUAGUGAUUGAAAACUGUAGACAAAGCCCUGCAUGGCUAGUCAGUGGGACCAUUGAGCUCCAAAACCACAAAACCCAACACUAUUUCAAGGAAUUGUGUGAGUUAAUCUAGAUCCUCUGCUGCAUGGAACUUGAAAAAUUCAAUCUUGGAAUGUUUUCUAAUUGCCUAAGUAUAAACAGAUAUUUUGGAUUAUUAUAUGGUUUUGACAAUUCAUUACUCAGUUAUUAAUUUUUGUAGAUUAAUUCUUUUGUUUUUGGUAUUGGGGAUCUUGUGUUCAUUAUAGAACCUUCCCUUUCUUUGUCUAAAAAUUUAAAUUUGGCUCUUGUUAAGUCUUAUGGUCUACA